GACGAACGCUGGCGGCGUGCUUAACACAUGCAAGUCGAACGGAAAGGCCCUGCUUUUGUGGGGUGCUCGAGUGGCGAACGGGUGAGUAACACGUGAGUAACCUGCCCUUGACUUUGGGAUAACUUCAGGAAACUGGGGCUAAUACCGGAUAGGAGCUCCUGCUGCAUGGGGGGGGUUGGAAAGUUUCGGCGGUUGGGGAUGGACUGGCGGCUUAUCAGCUUGUUGGUGGGGUAGUGGCUUACCAAGGCUUUGACGGGUAGCCGGCCUGAGAGGGUGACCGGCCACAUUGGGGCUGUGAUACGGCCCAGACUCCUACGGGGGGCAGCAGUGGGGGAUGUUGCCCAAUGGGCGGAGGCCUGAUGCAGCAACGCCGCGUGCGGGAUGACGGCCUUCGGGUUGUAAACCGCUUUCGCCUGUGACGAAGCGUGAGUGACGGUAAUGGGUAAAGAAGCACCGGCUAACUACGUG
rnacentral:rRNA from 1 species